AACGGACGAGAAGCUUGCUUCUCUGAUGUUAGCGGCGGACGGGUGAGUAACACGUGGAUAACCUACCUAUAAGACUGGGAUAACUUCGGGAAACCGGAGCUAAUACCGGAUAAUAUUUUGAACCGCAUGGUUCAAAAGUGAAAGACGGUCUUGCUGUCACUUAUAGAUGGAUCCGCGCUGCAUUAGCUAGUUGGUAAGGUAACGGCUUACCAAGGCAACGAUGCAUAGCCGACCUGAGAGGGUGAUCGGCCACACUGGAACUGAGACACGGUCCAGACUCCUACGGGAGGCAGCAGUAGGGAAUCUUCCGCAAUGGGCGAAAGCCUGACGGAGCAACGCCGCGUGAGUGAUGAAGGUCUUCGGAUCGUAAAACUCUGUUAUUAGGGAAGAACAUAUGUGUAAGUAACUGUGCACAUCUUGACGGUACCUAAUCAGAAAGCCACGGCUAACUACGUGCCAGCAGCCGCGGUAAUACGUAGGUGGCAAGCGUUAUCCGGAAUUAUUGGGCGUAAAGCGCGCGUAGGCGGUUUUUUAAGUCUGAUGUGAAAGCCCACGGCUCAACCGUGGAGGGUCAUUGGAAACUGGAAAACUUGAGUGCAGAAGAGGAAAGUGGAAUUCCAUGUGUAGCGGUGAAAUGCGCAGAGAUAUGGAGGAACACCAGUGGCGAAGGCGACUUUCUGGUCU
rnacentral:rRNA from 1 species